rnacentral:rRNA from 1 species
GACGAACGCUGGCGGCGUGCUUAACACAUGCAAGUCGAACGGAAAGGCCCUGCUUUUGUGGGGUGCUCGAGUGGCGAACGGGUGAGUAACACGUGAGUAACCUGCCCUUGACUUUGGGAUAACUUCAGGAAACUGGGGCUAAUACCGGAUAGGAGCUCCUGCUGCAUGGUGGGGGUUGGAAAGUUUCGGCGGUUGGGGCUGGACUCGCGGCUUAUCCGCUUGUUGGUGGGGUAGUGGCUUACCAAGGCUUUGACGGGUAGCCGGCCUGAGAGGGUGACCGGCCACAUUGGGACUGAGAUACGGCCCAGACUCCUACGGGAGGCAGCAGUGGGGAAUAUUGCACAAUGGGCGGAAGCCUGAUGCAGCAACGCCGCGUGCGGGAUGACGGCCUUCGGGUUGUAAACCGCUUUCGCCUGUGACGAAGCGUGAGUGACGGUAAUGGGUAAAGAAGCACCGGCUAACUACGUG